ACUGCAAAAUGUAGUGUGUGUGUGUGUGUGUGUGUGUGUGUGUGUAAAUUAGAGUGAGGCAAACACCGCUGUAUGUGUGUGCAUGUAUACACACACACACACACACACACACACACUGUAAUUAAGAAGA